rnacentral:rRNA from 1 species
UGAACUUUCAGNACGACUGGAUUUGGUGCUUCGGGAACAUUGAGACACGGUGCUUGCAAUGGGCUGUCGUCAGCUCGUGGUCGUGAAGAUGUUGGGUUAAGUCCCNUUAACGANGGNCAACCUCUUNUCCUUAGUUACCAGCACGUAAUGGUGUGUGCACUCUAAGGAGACUGCCGGUGACAAACCGGAGUGAAGGUGGGGAUGACGUCAAGUCAUUUCCAUGGGGCCCUUACGGCCUGGGCUACACACAGUAGCUACAAUGGUCGGUACAGAGGGGGUUGCCAAGCCGCGAGGUGGAGCUAAGUCCCAUAAAUACCGA